rnacentral:rRNA from 1 species
UACGUAGGGUCCGAGCGUUGUCCGGAAUUAUUGGGCGUAAAGAGCUCGUAGGCGGUUUGUCGCGUCGGGAGUGAAAACUCAGGGCUCAACCCUGAGCGUGCUUCCGAUACGGGCAGACUAGAGGUAUGCAGGGGAGAACGGAAUUCCUGGUGUAGCGGUGGAAUGCGCAGAUAUCAGGAGGAACACCGGUGGCGAAGGCGGUUCUCUGGGCAUUACCUGACGCUGAGGAGCGAAAGCAUGGGGAGCGAACAGG